AGCAGCCGCGGUAAUUCCAGCUCCAAUAGCGUAUAUUAAAGUUGUUGCAGUUAAAAAGCUCGUAGUUGAAUUUCGGGAUCAAUACGUCGGUCGUGCUUCGGUACGUACUGGCGUAAUUGAUUUCUCCCUUCUGACGAACCAUGAUGUCAUUAACUUGGUGUCAUGGGAAAUCAGGACUGUUACUUUGAAAAAAUUAGAGUGUUUAAAGCAGGCUCACGCUUGAAUACAUUAGCAUGGAAUAAUGAAAUAGGACGUUCGAUCCUAUUUUGUUGGUUUUUAGGAUCAACGUAAUGAUUAAUAGGGAUAGUUGGGGGCAUUAGUAUUCAAUUGUCAGAGGUGAAAUUCUUGGAUUUAUUGAAGACUAACUACUGCGAAAGCAUUUGCCAAGGAUGUUUUCAUUAAUCAAGAACGAAAGUUAGGGGAUCGAAGACGAUCAGAUACCGUCGUAGUCUUAACCAUAAACUAUGCCGACUAGGGAUCGGAUGAUGUUAAUUUUUUAAUGACUCAUUCGGCGCCUUAC
rnacentral:ncRNA from 2 species